UACGUAGGGGGCAAGCGUUGUCCGGAUUUAUUGGGCGUAAAGAGCUCGUAGGUGGUUCGGUAAGUCGGAUGUGAAAUCUCCAGGCUCAACCUGGAGGGGUCAUUCGAUACUGCCGUGACUAGAGGUCGGUAGGGGAGUGUGGAAUUCCUGGUGGAGCGGGUGAAAUGCGCAGAUAUCAGGAGGAACACCCGUAGCGAAGGCGGCACUCUGGGCCGAUACUGACACUGAGGAGCGAAAGCGUGGGGAGCGAACAGG
rnacentral:rRNA from 1 species